ACGGCUCAGUAACACGUAGCUAAUCUACCCUUAGGUCAGGGAUAACCUCGGGAAACUGAGGAUAAUACCUGAUAGGAGAUAUACCCUGGAAUGAUUUAUCUCUCAAACUCGAGCCUAAGGACGAGGCUGCGGCGGAUUAGGUUGUUGGCGGGGUAAUGGCCCACCUAGCCGAAGAUCCGUAAGGGCUCUUAGCGGAGAGGCCCUGAGAGGGAAUCUGAGACACUAUUCCCAGCCCUACGGGGUGCAGCAGUUAGGAAUAAUCUACAAUGCGCGCAAGCGUGAUAGUUUGAGCCAGAGUGCUUCUCAUUAGAGAAGCUUUUGUGAAAUCUAAAACGUUUCACGAAUAAGGACUGGGUAAGACUAGUGCCAGCCGCCGCGGUAAUACUAGCGGUCCAAGUCGCAGCCAUUUUUAUUGGGUCUAAAACAUCCGUAGCUUGCUUGAUAAGUUUCUUGCGAAAUUUUAUGUCUCAAACAUGAAGCGUGCAAGAAGUACUGUCAAGCUAGAGACUGGUAGGCGUAAGAAGUACGUUCGGAGUAGCGGUAAAAUGUGUUAAUCCCGGACGGACUAACAAAGCGAAGGCAUCUUACGAGAACAGUUCUGACAGUAAGGGAUGAAGGCUAGGGGCGCAAAACGGAUUAGAUACCCGUGUAGUCCUAGCAGUAAACACUGCACACUAAACAUUAGUACCUCUUCGAGAGGUAUUGGUGCUGAAGGGAAGCCGAAGAGUGUGCUACCUGGGAAGUAUAGUCGCAAGGCCGAAACUUAAAGGAAUUGGCGGGGGAGCAC
rnacentral:rRNA from 1 species